UGUCUAAUGAAAACAUAGCGUUGCGAUGGCCAGAAAGUGGUGUUGUCGCAAUGUGUUGUCUGCCCGGUGCUCUGAAUGUCAAAGUGAAGUAAUUCAAAUAAGCGCGGGUAAACGGCGGGAGUGUUAGGACAUUGCUCCCUACUGCCGCCUGGUCCACAACUUCCUCAUCAUUCAGAUCUAAGCAGAAAAGCACA
rfam:Cladophialophora psammophila CBS 110553 aczJe-supercont1.30, whole genome shotgun sequence.